rnacentral:rRNA from 1 species
GGGGAAUCUUGGACAAUGGGGGAAACCCUGAUCCAGCCAUGCCGCGUGAUCGAUGAAGGCCUUAGGGUUGUAAAGAUCUUUCAGCUGGGAAGAUAAUGACUGUACCAGCAGAAGAAGCCCCGGCUAACUCCGUGCCAGCAGCCGCGGUAAUACGGAGGGGGCUAGCGUUGUUCGGAAUUACCGGGCGUAAAGCGCACGUAGGCGGAUCAGUCAGUCAGGGGUGAAAUCCCGGGGCUCGACCCCGGAACUGCCUUUGAUACUGCUGGUCUUGAGGUCGAGAGAGGUGAGUGGAAUUCCGAGUGUAGAGGUGAAAUUCGUAGAUAUUCGGAGGAACACCAGUGGCGAAGGCGGCUCACUGGCUCGAUACUGACGCUGAGGUGCGAAAGCGUGGGGAGCAAAC